rnacentral:misc_RNA from 1 species
UUUCCGUAGGUGAACCUGCGGAAGGAUCAUUAUUGUAUUACCGAGGCUCUAGCGCUGUCGCUCACCCCUAUGGUCGUGUACCCCCGAUUGCCCUCACGCGCCCCCCUCUCACCCCCAUCUGCACCACCUCUUGGGUCCCCCUUUUGCUUGUUCGGUGGGGGGCUUACGUUUUCACUCAUUCAUUAAACGCAGUGUAGUCUGUAUUUUUUUUUUAUGCAAUCACGAAACCUUCACCACUUUCAACCACGGAUCUCUUGUCUCUCACAUACAUGAAGAACG